CAUUUGCCCCUUCCUUUUUUAACCUGAACCUACCUCCCAAAACCUAGCCAUUUGCACCUGUAGCUGCCUUUGGAUUACCCCUCUCCCAAUUCUCUCUCAAAAACCCUAGCCUCCAUCUUUAAUCACCAUCUAAAAUUGACCAAAUCCAUGGCUUCCAAAGCCAUUGAUGGCAUGUAUCUACCUUCUGCGACUCCUACAUGCUCAAUUAUCAUGGCUUCAAAGGCAAACCUUGAAAAUUUUGGUCCAGACCUCAUAUAUUUUUAGUGCUAUGGCUCUCUCGGCCACCUUCGACCUUCCUUCGACCAGCUAUUGCUAUUCAAGCCUAAUCUCGACCUCUCCUGCUUACAUCAAUGAUUUUCAAGCCUUUCUCAC
rnacentral:lncRNA from 1 species